rnacentral:rRNA from 1 species
UGGGGGAUAUUGCACAAUGGGCGAAAGCCUGAUGCAGCGACGCCGCAUGGGGGAUGAAGGCCUUCGGGUUGUAAACUUCUUUUGCUCUGAACAAGGCGCACCAUGGGGUGUGUUGAGUGUAGGGGUUGAUUAGCGCCGGCUAACUACGUGCCAGCAGCCGCGGUAAUACGUAGGGCGCGAGCGUUGUCCGGAAUUAUUGGGCGUAAAGGGCUUGUAGGUGGCUGGUUGCGUCUGUCGUGAAAGCUCAUGGCUUAACUGUGGGUUUGCGGUGGGUACGGGCUGGCUUGAGUGCAGUAGGGGAGGCUGGAAUUCCUGGUGUAGCGGUGGAAUGCGCAGAUAUCAGGAGGAAUACCGGUGGCGAAGGCGGGUCUCUGGGCUGUUACUGACACUGAGGAGCGAAAGCAUGGGGAGCGAACAGG